CCGUUCAUUCAACUACACGUUCAAAAGCGCUGAUUCAUUCAGAGAUUUGUAAUGAAACACGCUGUUUAAAUCAUUUUAACUUUGAGCGCCACUUUUAAAGGCUCAGCUGACCAGCAGAGCGUCGAUGCUAAAACAGAUUUCGCUUUCCUUGGACAUGACAACAUGUUUUCACAAAUAUAUACAUGACUCGGCCUGAAGGACAGACGCAGGUAAUCGCACGCGAUCAGUCGAUCUCUCUGUUUAGGCUUGUUAAGUGUUAAGUGCAACACCGCAACAGCUUGGGACUGACUACACUGGAUGUGUUACAUCGCUUGUAAUGAUUGGAAAAAUCUGUUUGUACUUCGUGUCAGAAACAGCGCGAGCGCUUGGAGUACAUCUGCACGUCAGAAAUAUACCGGGGCAUCAGUUUACUGUCCGCAUUCACUGUAGAUAAUAUGUAUAAUGGGUUCUAUAUUGUUGUCUGUUGUCUGUUGCCGAGUUGCGGUUUUGCCCGGGGAUGAACCCGCGAGAGUGGAAGAGCUCCGGAGAACAUCUACGCUGUGUGUCGAUGCAACCUAUGAGAGAAUAAGACCAGCAAGCAAGGCAACUGCAAUGAAGCAUAAAGAAAGACAUGAGCAGGCCAGCCACCCUGAGACUGAUAAUUCAUGAGAAGACAUUUCUGUGGAUGGUGAGCAAAGAUGGUGGCCAUGUUUUGGAGCAGCACCUGUGUUUUGCAGAUAGCUAUGUAUUCUUUGGCUGUUUGUCUUUUUUCCCAAUUAUGGCCUAAAGAUUCUUUGUAAGGAUGAAUCCAGAGGACACAACAUAAUGCACUGCAAACGUCCUAAGACAGGAGAAAUGGUGAAGAUGCACUGUUCCAGCAUUGGAAGUCUGUAUUUUUAAGUGUUAU